rnacentral:tRNA from 1 species
UGGCUCAGUUGGUAGAGCAUGGUGUUUGCAACGCCAGGGUUGUGGGUUCUAAUCCCAC